UACGUAGGGGGCAAGCGUUGUCCGGAUUUAUUGGGCGUAAAGAGCGUGUAGGCGGUUAGGUAGGUCCGUUGUGAAAACUCGAGGCUCAACCUCGAGACGCCGAUGGAAACCAUCUAACUAGAGUCCGGAAGAGGAGAAUGGAAUUCCCGGUGUAGCGGUGAAAUGCGCAGAUAUCGGGAAGAACACCCGUGGCGAAGGCGGUUCUCUGGGACGGUACUGACGCUGAGACGCGAAAGCGUGGGGAGCGAACAGG
rnacentral:rRNA from 1 species